AUGUGCAUUCCAACGCAGAAAGGAGGUAUGGGGUUCAGGGACCUUCACAGUUUUAACCUUGCUUUGUUAGCAAAACAGUGUUGGCGUCUGCUCCAGAACCCGGACUCUUUGUGUGCAUGUGUUCUCAGCGCCGAAUACUAUCCAAAUGGUGACAUUUUGAGUGCAGGUCAAAAGAAAGGAUCAUCAUAUACUUGGCAGAGCAUUGUCUAUGGCAUAGAAACCUUUAAAAGGGGUUGCAUAUGGCUAGUUGGUACGUGUGAAAAAAUUGAUACUUGGCAAGACCCGAGGAUCCCAACAAGUGAAAACAGGAAUGUUAUUACACCCAAGGGAGCUACGUUACUAGACAAAGUGGAGGACCUCAUUGACCCACACACUGGCCAGUGGGAUGUCCCUCUUAUUACCUCCAUCAUCUCUCCGGUUGAUGUCCACAUAAUUCUUAAUAUACCACUGCGAGUAGAGAUGUUGGAUGAUUUUGUGGCAUGGAAUGCAACCAGAUCAGGGACAUUCUCUGUAAAAUCAGCUUAUCAUGUCGAGUUUGAACACCAUUGUGGGAAACACUGGAAGAGGCAGGAUGGCCAAGGAAGCAUACACAUUAACCCUAUAUGGAAAUCAGCUUGGCAUCUAUCUGUACCUGGGAAGGUUAAACAUUUUGUUUGGAAAGUCUUGAAAGGGGUUCUCCCCUGUUUUGGUGUUCUAGCAUCACGGCACAUCCCACUGAGUGCUCAAUGCCCCAUUUGCAAAAUAGGGAUGGAAGAUAUUCAAUAUUGUUUAUUUACCUGCACCUGAGUACAGGAAAUCUGGUCUAAACUAGGGUUGACAGAGGAAAUCAACGGAGCAGUGACCCAAGAUCGUUCAGGUUCUGUGACUAUGGAAAUACUAUGUAGAACCAGUGACUCAGUGGGUGACUUGGCAAAGGUGGAGCUAAUUGUGGUUACGGCAUGGUGCAUUUGGUGGCAACGGCGGCGGAUCGUGAGACAAGAAUCAGUUCAAACACCAGACCGGUCCGCUCUCUCCAUCAAAGUUUUGUGCACAAAUUUUGUUAGAUCAUCUAUGCCAAAUUAUCCCACUAGGAAGCGAGAUCACAUGUGGAAGAAACCGAUACGUGGAUCUGGAUCGGUGAAUGUUAAUGUUGAUGCCUUGUUUUGCGCUCAGACAAUGGCUGGAGCUAGACAACAAGGGUGA
rnacentral:rRNA from 1 species